ACAUUAUAAUUUUACCAGACGCUUUGACUAAGAAAAUAUUGUUCUAGCUAACUAGAAAUACAUGGUAGAUGAGCGUGUGAUAUUGUAACACCACUGUAGAGUGGGGGGGACUAAAAAUUAAACCCCAAAUCCGGGUUUAAACUUUUAAAAUAAAUAAUAUAUGGACAAUAGUUUUAUAUCAAUAUGUUUGGUUAAUUGCAACAACUAAUAAUAGUAGUUCCUUUGUUCU